AACCGAAUAAUAUCCCCUGGCUGUAUAAGACCUCCGAUUUCAUCCCACACGGAAAUAGUGAUGCUGCCAGUUUUAUCUGCUACUUUGCAUGAUCUCACUUCAUGGCCGUCUUUGGUUUUGGUCACGCGUCCUGUGAGGAUUUAAAAAUCAAAAUGGGGAGGGAUGUAUUAGAUAAUGAGGACUUCCAAAAAGCUAACUCCUCCUCCGGGAUCAAAAUGCACCUGAAAGGAGGGAAGAGGUCGAGCCCCGGGUUCUCGCUGCAGAUGAUGAAAUUCACCUGAGACCGCAUAGCUGGAGAAGGCCAAACUGAGUUUUGAAUCUAGGCAAUCUUGACCGCAGAGCCUUCCGGCCUAAAGGUCGUGAUUGGCUGUUAACAUGCAAGAGGUUGCAAGAACCAAACAAAAUGGAUUCCUAGAAACUAAGGACAGAUUUUAAAAAAAUAGCAUCGUCUGAAACUAAAGAUGGAGAACUGAAGCACAGAGAAGUUAAGGAAACCAAGUCAGGCUCAAGAGAGUGCUGGCUACUGCGCUGCUUCUCAGCUUCAUAGAUAAGGAAGUGACACAGGGAAAACAUGGAGCAUAGGCCCUAGCACAAAGUACACAGAAAUGCUAAUUUUUAUUAUUGUUAUU